CCGCGACACUCGGAGGUGUCCCGGCCGCGAGCAGCUCCUGCCGCGCCUCAGCAGCACCUCUUUUUUCCGGGUUGCUUAUCCAGCGGCCUCCGGCACAGCGCGGCUGUGAGGUGCGGGGGCUGCCGUGAGUUUUCCUUCUUUUCUUUUCUUUUAAGAAUGGGGGGGGCGCGCGCCCGAGGGAUCCCUGCACCAGGGCGCCCGAGGACCUUAAGACGGCCCUGCUUCUUCCCCAACCUUAUAUUGCAGUCAACACUAAUGUCUCACAGCCAAUGUAACUGAUUUGUAAGAAAGACUGUACAACCUGAAAAAGAGACAAGAUAUGUACAUUUUAAAACCAAGAAAAUCUUUAAUAAAAAUUAAUUGAAAAGAAAAAAAGAAAGUGCACCAGUAUUUCCUGAACUUUCUCCCAUUGAACCCCUCACAAAGAUGUUGCCAUAUCAACCAGCUCAACGACUGGGGUGGAGUGGAAUCUGCAUUUUUCUUUUUCUUCUUAAUUUUUUUCUUAAAGUUUUUCUUGGGUUACAGAAGUCCUUUUUUUACAGAUCAGCUUUAUUCGAUGCGAGACUUCACUGUUGCUAAGGUUGCCAUAUGUCCAGAAAAAGCCGGACAUAGCCAUUGGAAACAGUGUCCAGGGCUCAAUCUGUCCCUCAUGCUCUUCUGUGUGGCUGGACAGGCUUGCCAAAACAGAACAGAUUCACAGAACAAAACAAAACACAAAAAUCACAUUCCACCCUUCUUCUGUAAGGAGCAUUUGCCAUGAUAAAAGGUUAGCUACUGCUGAAAACUGUAAACGGGAUUGUUGGAGCAAUGAUAGAUGGUUGAUCGGUUCAGAAAGUUCCAGAGCUGGGAUUUUAAUCUAUCGCCUCCGGACUGCUACUAGUUUCCAACAAUGAGUUCACUUCAAAAGAGAAACCCACUUCAAAGACAACUUGCAGGGGGAUUUAGCUGCAUUCUUUAAACUCCUUGUACAGGUAUCAUCCCAUUUUUUUUAAACGUGAUUUGCUAUUUCUGUCAGUUUCCUGCUGUACAAGGUAACAUGUAGAAGAGCUCUUCCUUUAAAAGUGGGCCAAAGGCAGUCUUCUGCCUGACUUUUUAAGCCUCCCUUGAGAAAUUCAAAAGAUGUGAUCCUUUUUCACCUGUCUAUGGGGACAUGCCUUUUUACUGAAUCUUCAACAAGAGAUACCAGUUAACUUGCACAUUUGUGGGAAGAACAUCAGUUGCCUGUCCAAGUCCAUUGAAAAUGGGAGUGAAACCAAUUUAAAAUAUUGCUGAAAGAAAAUCACAGCUUCACAGUGAUGAACAUUCUGCUGUCCUGAAUCUGCCAUUUGCUGCCCGGGGGGGGGGG